rnacentral:rRNA from 1 species
AGCAUCGAACUUUUGAACGCAAAUGGCGGUCCAGCUUCGCGCUCGGACCACACCUGGCUGAGGGUCGGAUGAAUACAUCCAUCGGUAACUAGAUUUUCUUUUAGUCGCGCUCUGGGCUUCACGCGGCUUGCUUACUCCAAAGCGAGCUGCGCGGCCUCAAAUGCAAAUUACCCCCCUCUUUUAUCUCGCAAGAGAGAAGUGGCGUUACGGAAGCACUCGGGAGAGGAGAGACAGCGAGAGUUUCAUCUGGGAUGUUUCGGGCGCGUUCUUUCGUGAAGGUUUCUAGCAACUGUCCCUGGACGACCGCGGAACUGCAAGAGCAAAGCUCGAAGGGAAGAGACCUCUUACUUUCUUUUUUUCGAUUACCCGAGUGUGGUGGCAACGCGGCGUAACAGCUCCGGACGAACUUGCGGUGGGUGAAAAUCCGCUGCGUUUCGGAAAGAGCGGCCGCAUCGGACACCUUAAAGCAGAACCGUACUUCUUUCUUCUUAGUGUUCGAGAAAAAAAAUUCAAAUCAUCUCUGACCUCAGAGCAGGUGAGACUACCCGCUGA